CAGACUUGGAAAGGAGGACUGGGUGAACAUCAAGUGGCAGCCGGGCCAGAUAACCCACAGCUGCCAGAAAGAUGGCAGCAGUUGUGGGAUCUUUGUCAUGCAGAUGGCCGAGAUGACGGUGAUGGAACUUCCAAAGAUUCCUCAGCAUUUUCGCAUCAACUCAUCUAAACAAUCUAUUGACAAGCUAAGAAGAAACAUGGCUGAAGACAUUCUGAAACAAUCAGGUUUAAAAAAAAUAGUUUCAAAGGAUGAGCUCUGUUCCUUCUGUGGAAUUGAGGACCUGCCCAAAACUGAUGUUGAUGCUGUUUGGAUUCAGUGUGGAACUUGCUCAAGAUGGUUUCACACGCUGUGCCUUGGGAUGACAGCAGCACAAAUACCAAACAACAUUGGUAUUGUGUGUUGUGUAACUGAACACUUAGGAAUAUGUAUGUCUGACUUUGUCGGAUAAACUUGUUGACUUCAAGUUUAUCCAGUUAAAUGUUGUUCAAGCCGAACCAGUCAUGUAUACAUUGGUAUCUGAUCGUUCAUAAAUAUUAAAUGGGGG